rnacentral:lncRNA from 1 species
AGGCAACCCUGUAAUUCCUUUAAGCAAGAACCUUAUAACAAAAUGUAGUGAUUGAAAAAGCAUUUCAUAAAUGGUCAUAAAAUUGAAACUUAAGGUAGUACUAAGAUUCGCUUUAUAUAGCUAAAAAUCUUUUGUAAAAAACAGCAAUAGCUUGAAACUAGAAUCCGAAAGGAGGCAACAAAGAUAAGCCAUAGGAAGCAUACAGAGAGUCCCGAUUGUGCCACGCAUGCCGUCCGGUAGAGAAGAACUCUACAGAAAGUCAUACUGUGUAGCGAUUCUUGGCACCUGUGUUGAGCUUCUUUGCAUCAUCCUGAAAAGGGCAAACAGGAAGUGUUUGUUUAUAAGCAAGAAACUCAAGACAUAAACCUGAAAGAUCACUGCAAACUAAAAAAAGCCAUUACAUGAAAUAUGAAGCCGAUAGUGUUGUUGUAAUCAAGUAACUCUUUCCACUGUUUCCCGAUGCUCAUCUGCAUCCAAACCAAGAAAGACCCGUGAGAACGGUUAAGAAAAUUACGGUAAAAGUACCAUGGAGGCCCCUGUACUAGGAGUUUAAUAGCAUUUUGCCCCAUUUACUCAAAAAGUAGGCAAAUUAGUCUCUAUACUUUGGAUUAAAGAGUUUUAUGUAAAAAUUUCAUCCAUUUGUACCGUUAAUAAAAACUAGAGUUGCUGAAUAAUAAAUUAGACGGAGACACGUGACAUGCCACAUGUACCUCGUACUGAGGUACAAAGACUGGUUUUUAACAGCAAAAAUGGAUGAACUUGGUUUUUAACAGCAAAAAUAGAUAACCUUUUUAACAAAAUGACCAGUUUGCUCUUUGAUCUAAUGUAUAAAGAUAGAUUUGCCCAUUUUUCGAGUAGAGGGGACAAAAUUCAAUCCAACUCUUAGAACAGGAGCCUCUACGAUAAUUUUACUGUCAUUUUUCGUAAUGAAGUAACUCUUAAGUCACCUGCGCAGUUUCAUUGGCAGCAUUCUUGGUCCACAAUGCUAUUCUGUCCUGCUUGGCUCUCACAUUGACAACUGCUCCGCAGAUUUCAUCGCUGUACUCAAACUCUUCCCCUAUCAAAGCCAGCAACUAGUACAGAAAAAAAAUAUACAACAGAUCAGGCCUCGUUUUUCACUUAAGCAUCGAAUUUUCAGGGAAAAGUACACCAUUAUAUCAUCUGAAACAAUACCGUGUACAACCAAGCCAUAUCUGAUUUCCCCUUUUUGAAAAUUACAGUCCACUUGCCUCCGUUAGCACAGACAGGGUCUUCCCACUUGGGCUCGAUUUUAUAUUUGAAACAAUGGAAGUCCGCUCCCACAGCCAAUUUGCUUGGAUGAUCUAUGUUAUUGUAAAGACUGUAAUCAAAAAAGUUUGACAGUUAAAUCCAUAGCUGGCAUUCACUUGAGAAACAAAUAGAAACUAACAAAAUAAAUGACACAUGAAAUCCGCAAUCAAUGGCAGCGAUAUAUAUGAAGAUGGUCCAAAUAGCUGUUUUCUGAUGAUCGCGUAACUUAUUCGACAGGAGGCACUAAGCAACAAUCCCAGAUUUUAAUAAACAAAGAUUAAAUUACCUUAUGUCAGAUAAAACCACUUUCCACAAGGUUGAUUACAAUGAAAUUUAAAGAACAGACCAAUUUAAUAUCAUCCAUUAAGAUCCAAGAUCCUUACAGUAAACAUUCUUUGAUGAUAACAGUUAAAGCAAUCCCAUUUACAUUCAUGGCUCUCACACACACAUAUGUUCCCACAAUAACAGUUAAAGCAAUCCCAUUUACACUCAUCAUAUAUAUAAACAAACAUGAGUCCACACACACACACAUGUGAAAAAUAAUCCACAAUAACAGUUAAUGGAAUCCCGUAAUUCCCAUUUACACUCAUCACAUAUAUUAACACAAGUAUAUAUAUGUAUGUGUACAUAUAUACAUGAACACUCUUCCACAAUAACAGGCAAAGCAAAUCCCAUUUACACUCAUCAUAUAUAUAUAUGCAUAUUGGUAUAUGUAUAUAUAAUCACAAGAUUAUAAACAGCAAUAGUUGACUUCAUUGUAAUGAGUAGACUAAAUUACAAAAAAAAAAAAAUGGAGUGCCAAACAGAUAAAUAACUAUAGAUUAUUCAAGGACUUGGUACUACAAAUUCAUUAUGAAGCCCUAUUUUGAAUAAACCCUAUACAUUCAUUAAACGAUCAAUAGCAGAAGUAAAACAAAAGCCCUAAAUCAAAUUUCCAAAUUUCAAGAAACCCAAACAUCUCCAAAACCCCAAAAAGUAACCCAAAGAACUAAUCCAACAUCUAACAUAUCAUCAAAAACCCAAAAUAAAUCAUAAAAUUCACACCCUUCUAAUAAAAAAAAUCAAAAAAGAAGAGAAAAAUAAUAACCUCCAGAAUUGUUCGAUGGUGGAGAAAGUGUAAAUAGGGAGCCUAGAACUACCCCAAGUAGCUUUUUUUGAUUUAGCACGAGGGUCAUCAAACCAAAAGGUCCAUGAAUGCUCCAACGGUUGAGGCUGUUCGACGACAACUUUCUUUAACGAAGACGACGCCGUAUCAUCUCCUUCACCUGCGAUCUCCCAUUCUUCAAGUUCACCAUCUUCUUCAUCUUUAGUGUUAGGGUUAGGGUUCUUGUUUUCUUCUUCGCUGAUGUUCAUUGAUUUGAGAUUUUCUUCAACCCCAAUUUUUUAAGUAAAGGGCAUGUUUAUCCUAAUUUGAUAAGUUCAUUGAAGUUUUCUCAGUUUUUGGUAAUUUCACUACUUGUUUGGUGUCACUAAAUCAGGUGACAUCUACUUCAAUCAAUCGCUUCAUAACAGUAUAGAUAACAAUUGUUACUAUUGUUAAAAGAUCAAAUCAAUCUGAAUUUUAAAAUUUUUGAAUCACUUUUUUGAAGAUCAAAUAAUUUUGAGGUUUAAAAUUUUCAGUAUCUUUUUAGUUAAAUCAAUUUUGAGUUUAAGUUAUUUUAAGCAUAAAUUAAUUUUUAAAUUUAAUCAUUUUAAGCUCAAAUCAUUUCAAAUUCAUAUAAAUCAUUUGAAUCCGAAGCUUAAUUUUUUUUUUAAAUCAUGUAAUUUCAUGUUUGAAUAAAUUCACAUUAUUUACUUUUAAAAUUACAUAAGACUAAAACAAGAUUUUUUUUUUUUUAAAUAUUCAUGUUUAAGACUUAUUUUGGGAAAGAUUGUUUAUAAUUAGAUAUCUUUUCCAUUUUCUUCAUUUUACAAUUAAAAUGUUUUAUUUUAUAUAAUCUCCAAUUUAACUUUUAUUUGCAUUUUUUUGUCAAUUUAAUUUUUUUUUUAAAUUUAGCACUUAUCAAUUUUGAAAAAAAAAUUUAAUUUGACCGUUCAACUUUAAAAAAAACAAAAUUUAAUUAAUUUUUAACGAAAAUAUAAAUUAAGAUGUUAAAAUUUUAAACAUGUUAACCUACGUAACACUUCAUGUGUACUUUAUGCUAAUAUUUUAUGAAUCUUUUUGUAAGUUUUUAUUUUUUUUAUAAUUUUUAAAUUAUUUAUUGACAUAACACAUAAGACACAAUAUCAUAUUAACAAAAAGUGUAUAUUGACCGCCACGCAAAUUGUCUCGCCAACAAUGUUCAAAAAAUAAUAUUUUAAUCAACAUUCAAAAAAUUAGUGACUACAUUUAACUUAAAAAUAUAUAUAGAAACUUUGAGGAUUAAAUUUAUCAUUAUAUCUUUUUACCAUCAUUAAAAUAGUUAUCUUAACCUCUCAUUUUCUCUGGAUCCGUUUACUUCAAACCCAAAACUAAAUCCGAAACAUUCCAAAUUCAAAAUGUCAAAUAUUUGAAUAACCCAAACAAGUAACUUGAAAUGUCCAUGACUCAAAAUCAUCCUAUCCGGAAAAUAAUAGCUCGAAACUCAAAACAACACAAACUCGAAAUAAUUUGAACCAAAAACAAUUCAAACCCAAAAUUAACCCAAACCUAAACAUACCCAAUCUUGAAAUUGACCCAAAGCCAAAAAAAAAAAAAUCCAAUUUUUUUUUUAAAUCAACCCAAAACCAACUAGAUUGACCUGCCCAAUUAACAGAUGAACCAUUUUUAAUAAAAUUCCACAAGUUCGCUUACAAUUGCUUGGCAUCAGCCCAAAUAAUCCAAAAUCGACUUUUAUGAUGAAAUCAGAUUGGAUCAAGUUCAUAUUCAAGUUACCCGGAUUGAGCUUUCGUGUUCUUAGUAGAAUUGACAGGUCUAAUCUCUCGUGUCUAAAACCAGUGAUUACUCAUUAUGAUACAACCUUGCAAACAAUACUUGCUUAGCUUAACGGCAAAAAAAAAACCCGGGACACGAAAAGCCGAAACAAAUUAAACCAAAUCAACCCAGAUCGAUAUGGUGCAAUCCUGUGAUACCUUUAAGCAAGAACCUUAUAACAAAAUGUAGUGAUUGAAAAAGCAUUUCAUAAAUGGUCAUAAAAUUGAAACUUAAGCUAGUACUAAUAUUCGCUUUAUAUAGCUAAAAAUCUUUGUAAAAAACAGCAAUAGCUUGAAACUAGAAUCCGAAAGGAGGCAACAAAGAUAAGCCAUAGGAAGCAUACAGAGAGUCCUGAUUGUGCCACGCAUGCUGUCCAGUAGAGAAG